rnacentral:rRNA from 1 species
GUAGGGAAUAUUGGACAAUGGGCGAAAGCCUGAUCCAGCAAUGCCGCGUGAGUGAUGAAGGCCUUAGGGUUGUAAAGCUCUUUUACCAGGGAUGAUAAUGACAGUACCUGGAGAAUAAGCUCCGGCUAACUCCGUGCCAGCAGCCGCGGUAAUACGGAGGGAGCUAGCGUUGUUCGGAAUUACUGGGCGUAAAGCGCGCGUAGGCGGCGAUUUAAGUCAGAGGUGAAAGCCCGGGGCUCAACCCCGGAAUAGCCUUUGAGACUGGAUUGCUAGAAUCCUGGAGAAGUGAGUGGAAUUCCGAGUGUAGAGGUGAAAUUCGUAGAUAUUCUGAAGAACACCAGUGGCGAAGGCGGCUCACUGGACAGGUAUUGACGCUGAGGUGCGAAAGCGUGGGGAGCAAACAGGAUUAGAAACCCGGGUAGUCC